rnacentral:rRNA from 1 species
CCUACGGGAGGCAGCAGUAGGGAAUCUUCCACAAUGGGCGAAAGCCUGCUGGAGCAACGCCGCGUGGGUGAAGAAGGUCUUCGGAUCGUAAAACCCUGUUGUUAGAGAAGAAAGUGCGUGAGAGUAACUGUUCACGUUUCGACGGUAUCUAACCAGAAAGCCACGGCUAACUACGUGCCAGCAGCCGCGGUAAUACGUAGGUGGCAAGCGUUAUCCGGAUUUAUUGGGCGUAAAGGGAACGCAGGCGGUCUUUUAAGUCUGAUGUGAAAGCCUUCGGCUUAACCGGAGUAGUGCAUUGGAAACUGGGAGACUUGAGGGCAGAAGAGGAGAGUGGAACUCCAUGUGUAGCGGUGAAAUGCGUAGAUAUAUGGAAGAACACCAGUGGCGAAAGCGGCUCUCUGGUCUGUAACUGACGCUGAGGUUCGAAAGCGUGGGUAGCAAACAGGAGUAGAUACCCGUGUAGUC